rnacentral:lncRNA from 1 species
AUGAACCAAUGGCUGAACCGGAUGCUGUCACACCGGGCGGUUAUCGGGAUCAAGUGGGACAAAGUUUGGAAAGCACUGGCCACAUGCCUCGCCCUUGAAUGCACUCAGGACCUGAAGGUCAUUGUUGACAUCAGGGGCCACCUCCCCGGGGGCAGUGUCCCCAGCUCCACCGGACAAGGUCCCCGGCUUACCCACCUCCUCUGUUCUGAUCUCUGGCUGCCUGAGCUCCGGGCUCGGGGGAUGGAAAGGUCUCCCCUUCUCAGGAACCGGAGGUUAACUGAAAACGCUCCCUCUCCUAGCUGCAGAGGAGGCCCGCAGACAACGCCAAGCACAACAGGCCCAGCGUGGAGGGGGCCUGGGGCCUGUUCAGGCAGAGCCGGGGGGACAUGUGUGGGGGCCAGGAAUGUGAGCUCACGAACGUCGCGAGGGGCAGCAGCCGGCUGCGGUGGGGACGCAGGCAGGCGCGAGGGAGUCGUAGGCCUCCUUUCCGUCUCUCUCUGUGCUUCUUCCACCCUCCUGCUUUUCUGAUCGGAGCAAAUAAUCCCUGCAUUAUUCCCCAGUAAUCCGUGUUAUGACUGUCCGAGCACCUCCCACCAGCAGGAACCUGUGGCGAGGUGUGGGGGUGCGAUCAUAGAAACCCAGAGGGCCGUGGGGGGGGGGGGCGGCCGUGCCCUCGAGGGGACAACUGGCUAUACCUGGAGACCCUUUGGGUUGUCAUGACUAGGGGGCAGGUGCUGCUGGCAUCUAGGGGUGGAGGCCGGGGAUGCCGCCAACCUUCCUGCAGCGCACGGGACGGCCCUCCGCAACGAGGAGGUAUCUGGCCCAGAAUGUCAGUAGUGCGGAGGCUGAAAAACCCCGAUUUCUCACGAUCCCGUUGUGUGAGACGAGGAUACCGGGGUCCAGAACAGCUAAGUGCAUGUCCAGGGACACACAGGCAUGAAAGGGCAAGGCUAUUUCAACCCAGAAAGCCUGGUCCUGCUGUCCUCCUGUGCCUCCUGCUAUUAGAGUUCACGGGCGUGGAAGGUGAGGGC